AACUUAUUAGGAUUUAUUAAUUUUAAAAAGUCAAUUCUUUUCUUCCAGAAAUAAGCCUUCCAAAAGGUCAGCUUGGUUUUAAUUAAGAGUGAAUCUUCUUUUGCAGGUUAAACUGUGAGUCCAAAUGGCUGCAUUGAUGGGAUCCCACGGCAGUCAAUACUGCAGUAAUUAGCAGACAGGAAGGCUCUGUGUUCAAUAGGGUUGAACUGCUUUAAUGAGAGGAAAGUUCCUGCUAGUGAAAGACAUUGGCUGCAGCUUUUCCAUGGAGGGGGCGGUGAGUGCAAGCAUGGCCCUCAGAAGUCUAGCUGAUGGUGGGCAAGAAGAUCUGGCUUAAUGACGUUUGGUUUUCACUGGUGGCCAGUGAGAUUGCAUUUUCAUUUAUGAAUUAAUUUCUUUCCCUGAGGCACGCGUAAAAUGAGAACCUUGGCUUAGAUCUAAACAAUGGAUGAUCCCCAAAGUCAGUACUUAACCAGAGCAAUGGCACAAAGGAUGUACAUGUAUGAAAAAAUCCAUACUUCUACUGGAAAAGGAGGCAAGAAGGGGUCCCGUCAGUGGUCCAGAGAUUAUGAGGUAUCUUUGAAAGACCAAAGAUGAAGAUUGAUGAAGGACUCAACAGCCCAAAAGACACAGGGGAUAAAACUGAUACAAACUGGCCACCUGAGUCUCAAUUCACUGUUUGCUGAUGAGUCCUCCUGAAAGGUACAAGCAGCAGCUGCCGCUUACUGACAUACUCUUAUUUUUUUCCUAAAGCCACUAAUCUAGUUGGCACCUUUUAUCAAACUCCUGCAAAGUGAGCCUCUGGGACCACCUGGCUGUCUCUCUCCUCUAGCCUAGAAUCUUUCAGACAGCCAGAUUUCCUCUCCUCUGCGCAGAGGGUAAUGUCUGAAUAUUCUUUUGCGUUGAUCGACAGGAAAUAAAGGGUAUUUGAAACAGCGGGAGCUGCUUCUGGAGCUGGAGGUUUGGUGGGGCCUGAAGCUUAUAUAAUUCCGGGGCCUUCUUGAAGAAAAAUAGUACAAAACUGCAAAGACAAAAUUAGUGAUCAAAGUGAAUACUUAGGAUUGGAAAAGAAAUCACAACAAACUGUAAAUUUCAAAAAUAACACAAACUUCAUAAAUGGCAGAAAAUGACCGAAUAAGCGGAUAGACCUCUACAAUACUUCCCCUAUGUUUUUGACUAGAUACUCAUUGUAAAGACAGAAGCAGAUUGAAGGCAGAGAUGAGAGUUUAUUGAAGCAAAGACAAGUACACAUGGAAGAAAUCAAGCAAGCAACUCAAAAGAUGGAGCGCCCCACCUGAUUGCUGGCUCAGGGCUCUUACAGAGGUACCAUUUCCUGGUUCUUCCUGGUCUCCCCGCCUCGUCCUUUCCCUUAGGUGCGCUGUUGGCUAAUUGCUGCAUGUGACUUGGCAGCUCCUGGAAGGGGCUGCAUGCACUGUUUGGUGGUUGACGUUAUGCACAUGCUGUCUUAGGGCAAUUUUUCCUUACUGGUCUAGCGCCCCCAGAGGAAGGUAUUACACCAGUCAAACUGCGAUUUUGCCUCUGA
rnacentral:lncRNA from 1 species